UACAGACUUCCACACUGGAUGCCAUAGUGUCAGACUGUCCCCCAGCUGCCAUUUGUCACAUGGCAACACUAUGGGAAGGUUCAACCUCUACUGCUAUACCACCAACAUCCACCUCUGACACUGUGGGUCAAUAGACUGAAAUAGGUGGCAUUACUUUCAGCGCAUCCUUCAUGUAGCACUUCAACAAGACACUGUUGAAACAUAUCAUGCCAAGUGCAUCCUAUUACAAUGAUAAGGCAGAUCAUUCAGCUCACUAUUUCUUGUAAUACGCAGGAAACUAACCAAGCAGAGCUUCUAAAACCUCACUGAAGAUUUCUAUAACAGGACAAAACCUCAACAGUGAGAAAGGAAAAGAGAAACAGCAAAGUAUUUCCAUUCGCAUUCCCUCUAUAUCAGCUUUUCAACCAUCACCAGCUACCUCAGAACUAGAUCCAACCAGAAGGGAUAAAUGCCUGGAUCUGCAUCAGCCUAAGUUUGUGUCAGCAAGCAACUGAAAUAACUGAGCAAUAGCUGGACACCCACAGAGAUCAUCCAAAACCAUUAAAUGAAAUAUAUUAUUCGGAUUACAAGGGAAAUUGUACCAACAUUCCCAAAGUUAGCUCACAGCUUAUGGAUUGGACUUCUUUAUAUCUAUUUGGAUUUACUUACUUACUCAGGAUCUUGGAAACCAGAUCACAAAUCAUAUCAGAUAAAUAAAAGAACGUCAGGAAGAGCAGAGAAUAGCUGAAGCCAAUGAGGAUUCUAAAACUGAAACACAGCCUCAAGAAUUUACUUUUCCCCAAUCAACCUGUUUUCUUGCCCAUAUUUCUACUUCAAUAUGAUCUGAGUUAAUAAAAUAGAAUCAUAGAAUGGUUUGGAUUGGAAA
rnacentral:lncRNA from 1 species